rnacentral:rRNA from 1 species
GUGAUUGGAAUGAGUACACUUUAAAUCCUUUAACGAGGACCCAUUGGAGGGCAAGUCUGGUGCCAGCAGCCGCGGUAACUCCAGCUCCAAUAGCGUAUAUUAAAGUUGUUGCGGUUAAAAAGCUCGUAGUCGGAUGUCUGUCUUCGGCCGGGCGGCGCCGCUCUGAAUCAAGGGUGCGCGCUCGCUCUGGGAGGGGGGUGUCAAAGCCUCCCUCUCUUCGCGGUCGGACAACACCGCCGGAGUGGUGGUUUUGGCGGGCCGGGACCUCGAACCGGUCGGCGCGUUCGCGCGCGUUGGCCGUCUUCGAAUCCGGUCGGCCGCCACCCGUAAUCGUCCGGGGUGCCCUUCACCGGGUGUCUCGGGCGGCCGGCAACGUUUACUUUGAACAAAUUAGAGUGCUCAAAGCAGGUGCAACCCAACGCCUGAAUAUCACAGCAUGGAAUGAUGAAAGAGGACCUCGGUCUUAUUUUGCUGGUCUUUUCUAGACCCGAGGUAAUGGUCAAUAGAGACGGAC